AGAUGGGGGGGGGAUGGGGGGGGUAGAGGGGGGGCGAUGGAGUGGGUAGACGGGGGAGACAGAAGAGGAGUAGGGAGGACAGACAGGAGGAGGAGUGGCCACGCUCGAGCACCGCCCUACGAGACUGCAGGGAGGCGGAGCCGCGGCCCGGCAGCGGGCCCGGCGGAAGAACGCAGGUUAGGAGAGAAAACAGGGAAAAAACGGGAGCGGCGUGGGCACUAGAAGCGGUAACGCCCGCAGCGGCGCGGCCGCCGGGAGCGGAAGCAGUAGCGGCGUAGGCGCCGGGAGCGGCGUGGUCGCCUGGAGCGGCAGCAGUAACGGCGUGGGUGUCGGGAGCGGCAGAGGUGAGAGACAGAGAAAGAAGUCCGGAGGGAACCUUUCGGUAGAGGCCAGACCGGGCUGAGGAGCCAGAGCGGGCCGAGGAGCCAGGAGAGCAGACACCAGCCGCAGCGGUUGGGGAAAGGCGCACCGUAAUCAAGGAAGGCAGCAGUGGCGGUGGAGGAGUAGGUGUGGACGAGAACAGCCGGUCGUGCGAGGUCGGACGCCAGCCGCAGGACACAUAGUGGUGGAGUACCAUCGUGGAGCAGAUGUCAAAUUCACAGUGGUUACCAGUAAUCUACAUAUUCUGUAUGCUGAAAGAUGUGGCCACCGGCACUAAGGAAAUGUGGAAGAUCAACAUUACGCAACAAGAGUUUACUGUGGAAACGUCCAGUAAUAUCACCAUCGACUGCAGAGUGGAAUACCCACCACCUGAAAUGAGCAAAAAGGACAUUCAGGGCUUCUGGAAGGUGAACCGUGAAGGAAGAAUUAGCCAUUGCGAACGAAAAUCCAACGAAAUCAUCUACAAUCAUAACAAUACGUUAGUGUGGCGGAGAUUCCAGGGAAGAACUAAAGCCCUCGGGAACAUUGCGAACAACAGCUGUUCUCUAUCAAUCAGCAAGAUCCAGAAUGAGGAUCAGGGGCGCUACUACUUUAGAGUGGAGACAGGAUCUAAUAGCUACAGCUUUUGCAACAAUAUGAUCACCAUUAAAGUUAUAGGACAUGUCUCCAAUGUUACCUUGAAAGCAGUGUCUCAAGAUGUCACAGAAAACCCAUUUUUUUCUACAAAUAUUCCAGGAACCUCCGCACCUUCGACAGACUUUAGCAUCUUUAUUUACGUGCCGAUUAUCGUGCUCGUUGUUGUGAUUGUGGCUGUAGCUGUGUUUCUCCUCAGACGAAGAAAAAGAAGAAGACAACCGUCCAGACAAGACUCAAGUUACUAUGUCAAUUUCCAUCCGCCUUGUGAGAUGCAGAAUGAUGGACCUAAGUUGCCAGAGAAGUUUGAAAAAAAGCUGGAACCACCGCCCUUUACAUCUAAACCUCAGGAUGAACCUAUUUACAGCAAUGUUCAGGGUAAGACUCUUGUGGAGCCUGCUGCUUCUGAUCAGAUGGAGAACAUCUACACUAAUGUUGGCUGUGGUACACAGUGGUAGGAAAUGGCCUGAGAGUGUUUUGGGACCUGAGGGGUUGGAGGGUCAAGGAGUGUUGGCAUUUCAAUGUUAAAGUUUAACCAAUGUUAAGUAGCAAAUAAGACAAUAAAUUAAAAAGCUACAUUUCA
rnacentral:lncRNA from 1 species